UUUAUUCAGAGUUUACUAUAUAUCAAGCACUGUUCUAGGUGUUGGAGUAGUUAAUUCAGGUUAAUCAGGACAGAUCCACUCCCUAUCUCACACACUUACUGAGUGCAGAGCACUUUACUGAGCGCUUGGAAAGGUUCGCUACAACAGAGUUGGUAGACAGGAUCCCUGCCCACAGGAGCUCAUGGUCUAGAUGGGUUAAAGAUAUUAAAAUAAAUUACAGAUCAGGAAAAUGUUCUAGUGUAAGGAUACAGACGUAAGUGCUGGGGCAGUUGGUGGCGGGGUGAUGUGAAAUCCCCCUGAGGGACAGGGACAGUAUUUAAUUUCAUCCUCUAUAUUCUUUCCCAGUGCUUAGUACACAGUGUCCUACUCACAGUAUGUGCUUAGCAAAUACUAUCGCUUCAAAGAAACAGUAUUACUACUAAAGAUCUGAAUGCAUAAGUGAUGCAGAAGGGAGAGGGCAUUGGGGAAAUGAGGGUUUAUUUAGGGAAGAUCUCAUGAAGGAGAUGUCAUUUUAAUAAGCCUUUGAAGAGAGUGGAGGUCUGCUGGAUAUGAACGGGGAGAGAGAACUAGGCCAGAGGUAGGAUUUGUCUGAAUAAGGAAAUAUGUUUGAUAAAGUUCUACUAAAUGGACACUUGGAUUUUUAAAGCAUCAAACCAAUCAGGCCUCCCCCUGGAAUUACUGGGAGUUUCCUGGGCAUAGUAGUGAUCCAUAAUAGAAGAAUAGAAUUUCUCAGAUAUUGUUUUCUCUUUCAGUGAUUCAUGCAAAGGUUCUUCUGUAAAUUACUUGAAAUCAAUUUUGGAAAAGAGAAACAUCAAGUCCUUCUGUGAAGAUAACUACAGACCUGUUAAGUUCAUUCAAUGUGCAGAAAAUCCUGAUCAUAGAGACUGCAGGUUCUGUGAAGGACAACCAGUGAGUGAGAGACGCUACUAUUCUUCCAAGUUUUCCCGUCAACUUCAAAGCUUCCACAGCUUUAAAUGACACAUCUAUACCAGAGCACACACCUAAAGAGAAGAAACUGGUAAUGACAUGUUCAGAAUAUGAGUCGCCUAGUCUAUCUUAAACACAAUGUUCUAUUACCUUCACAUUUAAAAAAAAAUGUUUCAGAGUAAUUGUUAGAUCAAAUCCAAUAUAGUUAUACCGAAUAAUAUAUUCACUUUGAUUUGUUUUUAUACUUGCUUGUGUAUGUUAGAAACAGAGACUUAUAAAGUUACUUUAGGCAAGUUUAAAAAGCUUGCUUUAAAAGCCUGUUUAUGUAUUUCUCAAGGAGUCAAGUAAAUAAAAAUGAGUUGAAGUCAAAUGACUGCAGA
rnacentral:lncRNA from 1 species